rnacentral:lncRNA from 1 species
UGGGAGGGCGGGCCUCUCAAAUACUGCAUUAGCCAAAGGGAAAAAACCACUCCCAUCCGGUUCUGAAAGCAUUUAUCACAAACGAUCCCGGAGCGCAGUAAAUGAAAAGGUCGUUAGGAAGCAUCUGGCUGCAGGGCCUGGCACAGAGCCGGCCCAAGUAAACUCUGCCGUGUGAACCUCUCGGUCACUGUCACCCACAUUUGUGACUCUGUGAAGAGAGCAGCAGCGAAGUGGGGAGGGGAGCGGGUCCUGAGGGCCUGGCUGGGUCCGGCGGGCCUGGGGGCGGGGCUGGCGGGAGGGGCUCUAUCUCCGCCCUCGCACUGCAGGUACGAGGCCGAGGCCGCCCACUUCCUCCACCAGAACGCCACUGCUGGGCCCCUCCCCGAGGUGCACGUGCUGGCAAACUGCUGCAUCCUCAGGGAAACGUGGCAGGAGCUGAGCUGGGCACACAUUCUGCCGGCACAUCUGGACGCUGUCGUGCAAGACACCAUCCACGACAUCGAGAGCCACAGCCGGGACCACUUCCUGUUUAAGGGCAGAGCCCUGUGCAAGAGUCUGCUCCUGGGUUACUUCGUGAGGAAGGACAAGGAUCUGGUUGGAGCUCUGGAGGCCUUGUGGCAGAGUCUGGAGGGCCGUCCCAAAAUGUACUCCACUCUCACGUAUGAGGACAUCAUGCGAAGUUUGCAUGUGGUGGUCUUUGGGGAGUACAUCCAGGCCCUGGCCACCCACCUCAAGAAGCUGGCGCCCAAGAAGUGGGAGGACAUCUUGGUUCAGGUGAACACUGACACCACGAAGUUGCACAACAUCUUCACGAAGCACAGGGACGUUGGCUUGGCCAACCUACAGGAACCCAUCAUGGGGAUCUUCCAGCUCAGAGGGAACAAGGGCAGGGAGACUGUGGAUGACUGGCUGGCGUCCUUCAGGGACAGAUUCCCAGAUUAUUUAAGCACCCAGGCCCAGCCAUGCUGCUCUGUGCUCUUGGAGGAGACCGAGGACAAGGGAAGCUGCUGCUGCUGCUGUUGACCCCAGCUCUGGUAAAGGAUCUGGCGGCAGCUCCCUGACUGCCCUUAAUGGAGGUGGAGGUGAGCUCGAGCUUCAGGAAGCCUCGGGCUGUGGAAGUUGUGUGGCUCCGACACCCACCUAUGGAGAAGGAUCUGGGUGCCCCUGGCCACCAGGUGGCCACUUCAUAAAUGGUGGCCUGACAUCCAGGAGGAACCCAAUCCUUCUCAGUUCUGGACUCGUCUGUCAGAAGGAAUACCCUGACCCCAGCCACCAAGCAAUAAGGCAGGCCAGGCCUUGUGGGAGGCCACAUGCUCAUGUUCUAGCCAGAAACCCUACUGAGGACCCAGCCAAAAGCUGGCAUGAACCCCAGAAGAACCUCAAGAUUCCUGCAGCCCCAACCACUGUCUGAUGUAGCAUCAGAAUUAAAGGCGAACAUAGCCUAUUGGUGAUUGGUGACUGAACAGUUGGACCCUCGCCUGGUGUGGAAGUUCCCACAGUUGGUAUCAAAAGAGUUGUGAGCAGAGGGACAGUUUUGCUGGAGUCACCUUGGUCACCCACGCCUCCCCAUGGAGGUGGGGGGACACUUGCUUGCUGCCACCCCCAAACUGCAUGAAAAUGCUUCAAUGAACAGGCCUCUGCCUAAUCUGAGUCAGAAGCUGUCAAGUCGUUUCUCCUUUUCCUUCCCUUUGUCCUCCUUCACGUUAUUCUCUUUUCUGGAAAAUGAAAGAGUAGUUCCUGUACAUCAGUAUUUAAGAGAGGCUGCGACCCAGACCUUGCUUCAACGCUGUUUUAGCAGAUUCCCUAGGCUCAG